rnacentral:rRNA from 1 species
UACGUAGGAGGCAAGCGUUGUCCGGAAUUACUGGGCGUAAAGCGCGUGUAGGCGGCUUUGCAAGUCGGGUGUGAAAGCCCUCAGCUCAACUGAGGAAGUGCGCCCGAAACUGCAGAGCUUGAGUGCGGGAGAGGGAUGCGGAAUUCCAGGUGUAGCGGUGAAAUGCGUAGAUAUCUGGAGGAACACCGGUGGCGAAGGCGGCAUCCUGGACCGACACUGACGCUGAGGAGCGAAAGCCAGGGGAGCAAACGGG